GCUGAGGGACACAAGUAAUGGCGGUCGAUUCGGAGAUGGACCGCCAGCCCCCGCUUUCGGGAACGCUGUCCGUUGUUCGCCCGGCUUUUUCGGGUGCGGAUGAACCGGCCUUCGAGACUUUUAUCAAGAUCACAGCGAAUGGGACCGUUACGGCCUUCAACGGUCACGUCGAUCUCGGAACCGGCAUCCGGACUGCCCUAGGUC
rnacentral:misc_RNA from 1 species